CUUGGCACCUACUACCAAACCCUGUUCAAAGGCACUUCCAAUAUAUGUGUCUUGCCCAUUCACCUUGUGAAUGGAACACACACACAGUCCAUGUCUCAAAUCCUUCUUUAACCCGUCUCCUCCCCUUCUUCAUCUACAUUGAUUGAAGUGGAUUUAACAAAGUGACGUCUAUAAGGGAUCAUAUCUUUCACCUGGAUUCACCUGGCGUCUGGUAACAAAGUGAGCAGGCAGUCGGUGCUGUGCGGAAGUCAGAACAUCGUCCUCAACGGCAAAACUAUAGUAAUGAACGACUGUAUAAUCCGUGGAGACCUGGCCAAUGUCAGGGUGGGGAGGCACUGUGUUGUGAAGAGCCUGAGUGUCAUUC